GCCGCAUUAGCUCAGAUGGUCAGAGCGUCCGUCUUGUAAACGGAAGGUCAUCAGUUCGAUCCUGAUAUGCGGCU
rnacentral:tRNA from 1 species